UGAUCACUUCUGAAAUCCAUACACUAAAAGUAGAAUGACAGAGGGAAGAUUAGCAUUAGCCCUGUGCAAGGAUGAGCAAAUUCAUGAAACAGUCCAUUUAAGA
ensembl:snRNA U6 U6 spliceosomal RNA